rnacentral:rRNA from 1 species
CCUACGGGGGGCACCAGUGGGGAAUAUUGGGCAAUGGGCGGAAGCCUGACCCAGCAACGCCGCGUGAAGGAAUAAGGCCUUCGGGUUGUAAACUUCUUUUAUUAGGGAAGAAGAAGUGACGGUACCUGAGGAGGAAGCCCCGGCUAACUCCGUGCCAGCAGCCGCGGUAAUACGGAGGAUGCGAGCGUUAUCCGGAUUUACUGGGUGUAAAGGGCGCGUAGGCGGGAGUGCAAGUCAGAUGUGAAAUCUGGGGGCUCAACCCCCAAACUGCAUUUGAAACUGUAUUUCUUGAGUGAUGGAGAGGCAAGUGGAAUUCCUAGUGUAGCGGUGAAAUGCGUAGAUAUUAGGAGGAACACCAGUGGCGAAGGCGACUUGCUGGACAUUAACUGACGCUGAGGCGCGAAAGCGUGGGGAGCAAACAGGAUUAGAUACCCCUGUAG